AUGGCAGAGAUAGAAUAAAAACAGAAAAAUGGCGACGGUCACGUUGUGGCGAGCCUUGCUGCGUCAUUAGAUAAUCCUCAUGCAAAUAGCGGGAAGAACAAAGGAAGGGGGGCCCGGGACCCCCGGGGGCGCAGGAUCCGGCGGGAGGAGUCUAAGAGGAGGAGGCGGCGGUGCAGGAGGAGGAAGAGGAGGGAGGGAAGAGAGAGGAAGACCGGAGUCCCCGCGGCGGCGGCGGUCCGGAGAGAGGGCGAGCCCCGCGCGGCGCUGGGGACCGGGCGCUACCACGAGGCCGGGAGGCUGGAGUCUGGGG
rnacentral:lncRNA from 1 species